rnacentral:rRNA from 1 species
CCUACGGGUGGCUGCAGUGGGGAAUAUUGGACAAUGGGCGAAAGCCUGAUCCAGCCAUGCCGCGUGUGUGAAGAAGGCCUUCUGGUUGUAAAGCACUUUCAGUGGGGAAGAAAGCCUUGGGGCUAAUACCCUCGAGGAAGGACAUCACCCACAGAAGAAGCACCGGCUAACUCCGUGCCAGCAGCCGCGGUAAUACGGAGGGUGCGAGCGUUAAUCGGAAUUACUGGGCGUAAAGCGCGCGUAGGCGGUCUGAUAAGCCGGUUGUGAAAGCCCCGGGCUCAACCUGGGAACGGCAUCCGGAACUGUCAGGCUAGAGUGCAGGAGAGGAAGGUAGAAUUCCCGGUGUAGCGGUGAAAUGCGUAGAGAUCGGGAGGAAUACCAGUGGCGAAGGCGGCCUUCUGGACUGACACUGACGCUGAGGUGCGAAAGCGUGGGUAGCAAACAGGAUUAGAUACCCCAGUAGUC